rnacentral:tRNA from 1 species
GGGCAGUUAGCUCAGCGGUAGAGCAUCGCCUUCACACGGCGGGGGUCACAGGUUCAANNAUCUCGUUUACACCGAGAGGGUCGGGGGUUCGAAACCCUCACUGCCUACCA